GCACCAUUAUCCGGGGCUCGUGGACACAGCAAAGCUCGUGGACGCAGUAAAGUCCGAGAAUUGGCACCUGGGUGCUUCUGAUUCUCGAGUCUGCAUCUCCUGGAAUUCCGAUGCAGAGCUCUCUAGGUCCCCGGCACUUCAGGUGCUAAGCAUAAGCUCCUAGGCGUCGCACCUACCACCUCAAAUAUUUCUCAGAUAUUAAGAUCCUACCAUGUGGUCCUCUGAGCUUCGUCUCUGGUGUCGGCUUCUUCCAUUUACUCCAACCAGGAGCACAUUCGCUCAUUCAGCCAGACAUGGCAGCAUUUCAGGACUUGGGGGGGGGGGGUGAGACAGGGUCUUGUUAUGUAGUCCAAUCUCUCUUGAACUCACUAUGUAGUCCAGAAUGGCCUGAACUUGCGAUUCCCCUCCCUCAGCCUCCCGAGUUUCGAGAUUACAGUUGUGUGGCACCACGCCUGACUGCAGUGUGAUCUUUUAAAAUCCAGACCUGCCUUGCUGGUCAACCAGGACCGCGUGUUCCUUCACGAGCCCGGAGCCCGACAGCCUCUCCUGCAUCCUCACGCCGGGCUCUGGCCACGCCCCCCUGCCAGGGGCUCACCCGCGCCCCUCCUCGGCAGCUGCGCCUCGCCGGGCCUCUCCGGGCCUCGCCGGGCCCCGGGAGGGGAAGGGGCUCCACCUGCGCGCCACCUGCUGGGCCGCCCGACCUCCCGCAGACCCGGCCAGACCUCGGCGAAGCUCACGCCUCCGGGCUGCACAUCCGCGCCGGCCGCAAGCUCCAGGACGCGGCGGCGAGCCUGAGCCGCUGCGCAUGCGCGCAGGUGCGCGUGCACGCAACAGCCCGCACGCACCGGCACGCACGCGCCCGGCCAGUGAGACUAGGAAGGACAGGUUUGGGUUUGGGGUUUUUUGUUUGUUUGUUUGUUUGUUUGGGGGGGCCUUCGCGCUGAGCUGCAUCCUCGGCCCUUUUUAUUUGCCGACAGAAUCUGGAUGAGUCAGUAAGUUGUCCUGGCGGGGCUUCUCCUUCCUCAGGCUCCCUCGUGCUGAACUCUGGGCGCGCGCCCAGCUGAGGACGUGGCCCGAGGGAGGGAGGUCAGCGGGAGCUUCACAACGUUUGGCCCUGGUUGUGCGCCCUGCAGGGUGUGCCGUGAAGCUGUUGGUGGUUCUGAGGGCAAUCAUAAGCCUGGGGAAGCGUGUACUGUACUGUGUAAUAAUGAAGACAGCAGUUAUCCGCACUUUGAAAGCAAGUUUUGCAAAAUAGUUACGCACUUCCUUUGAGUGAUGAGUUCUAAUAAGCCACAUCCUGUAGGACAUCAGCACACCUUUGGGGGCAACACAGGACUGAGAUGUAGCCUGCACAGAGGCUGUCCUGGACACAGAAGCAGGUGAAUUGCUGGCCCACAAUGCAGCCUCAUAGAUCUGUGCCGAGCGGAUCCAAGGGACCAGGCUGGUGAAUCUCAGGUUUGAAUCAUCUUUGAACCAACUCUGGGUCCCCAAAGUCCAAGGAUGUAGAAGGAAAAGCAGCUCCAGCUCAGACUCAGUUUCUCCUCCACUGAUGAUAGAUUCCUCUGACACCGUGUGGUGAGCUUUCCCUGAACGUGAGCAAGUGGCAGCUCCAUAGCCCACCUCAGUGGGGCGCUCUCUGGUUUGUUUUGUUUGUUUGUUUUUUGGUACCAGGGAUCGGACUUGGGUCCUUGCGCUUGUGAGGCAGGUGGCAGAACCACUGAGCUAAAUCCCCAGCGCUCUGGUUUGUUUUUUUAUUCCUGUGGUGCCAGGAUCCCUCAAGGCGGGUGCUCCACCACAGUGCCACAGUGAGUAGGGCAUCAGGGCCACUGUGAGGGUGCCAUUGCAAAACUGCCCCUCUGAUGGCAGCUGCAGGCCCUGGGUCAUCUCACCUACGCUUCUACCCAGGCUAGAAGUAGGGUUCCAUUAAUUUGCUCAACAGCUCACAGUACCCAGGGAAGCAACAUUUAAGGGUUUAUUUAUUCUCCCCUGGCACUGAGGAUUGAACCCAGCGCCUUCACAUUUAGCUUUCCCAGCCUUAGUCUAGUAAGUUGCCAAAUUGCCUAACCCGGGCUCUACCUUGCAAUCGUCUUGCCUCAGCCUCCCACAGUGCUGGGGUUAAAGUCAUGCAUCGCCAUGUCUGGCUUUACCAGUUUACUAUGAAGGACAGUAGGAAGGAGACAGGCGAAGAGAUGCCCAGGCGAGGCCUGUGGGAAAGGUACCCUCCGAGCACCUGUGCCUGCUGUCUCUAGCGCUAUCUGCUGGGUCUGAGAUGCCAAGUGAUGUGCACAGACGAAGCAGGGACCUAGCAAGGCCAUCAUCUGGCUUCCUCCGCGGCCCUUCCUCCUGCAUGCCGACAGACCCCUCUCUGAACUGGGUGCUCAUCAUCUGAACAGGGAAAGGGUGGGCCAGAGAAGUUCUGUGGGCUGGGGGAGAUCAGUUUCUGUGCCUGCCUUGGGGAGAGAAAAGGGCAGGCAAAGGGGGGUUAGGUCAGACUGCUUUCUAAGCCCCAAACACCUGACAUCGGUCUACUCAGGGCAAUGGGAGCAAUAAGCCAGGGACCAGGGAUGAAAACCAAAAGCUAUCUGUACCACAAAGUAAAGAACAAAAACAGGCUUCUGAGAGGCGUAAUUACACCUCCAGAUGGCUUGGUCAUCUCCUGCCUAAGUUCUGGGCUUCCAGCCUUCUGGCUUGGCCUGUGAAUUUCAAUUUGUCUGCCCCUACUACUACCAGAGCCACUGCUUUAAAACAGAUCUUUUACUAGGCCAGGCACAAGGACACAGGCCUGUAAUCCCAGUGACUCUGGAGGCUGAGGCAGGAGGAUCACAAGUAAAAGCCCAGCCUGGACAACUUAACAAGACCCUAUCUUAAAAUAAAAUAAAAUAGAUCAAAAGGGCCAGGGUGCAGCUCAGCUCAGCAUCUGCCUUGCAUGCACAAGACCCUGGGCUCAAUCCCCAGUACCACACUAAAUAAACACAUGAAAUAAAACCGUUUACUAUAUUUAUUGUACAAGAAUAAUCUCCUAUUGGUUGUGUUCUCUGGAAAAAUGCACAUUGCCAUUACCCCAG
rnacentral:lncRNA from 1 species